AGGUAAUGACACCAUACGAUUCUGGGGAAUUGUAACAGCAGCCAUACUUGCAACAGUAGGACUUCUAGUUCUGAUGUCAGCAAAAUUUAACUGCAGCCGUUACAGAAGAAAACUUGUAAUUCAAGAUAAGGAACCGCAGCAGUGUAUGCAGCUACUUUCAAUUCGCUCAGUAGAUAACUGAACAGAUUACCCUCUGGAUGAAUAUGAUUCCCACAUUCUAAGAUUGCUAUUUUCAGCAUUUUAAAUAUGCACAUCUAUUUUGUUUUGUUUUUCCUAGCAUCACUUGGCAGUAGUAUACUUACAGUGCCUACGGCAUAACAAUGAAAAGAGAAACGUAAUCUGUCAUCAGUCUGAUUACUAAAACAUUGAAGUAACUAUCUUGCUUGUCAAAUACAGUUUUAUCUAUGCUUGUUUUCCCUUCCUAUAAUGAUAACAUUGUAAAAGAAACACUAAUCGUACAUUGAACAACAUUAAAUUAUCUUUAUCCUUGCUAAC